rnacentral:piRNA from 1 species
UGUGAUGUCAUAUACUUUCAAAGAUCCCA